UGAACUGAAAGAACAAAUCGCCUACUUCAGGCGGUGGGAAGCGUAUGGAAAUUAUAUUAGAACUUCAGCAAAGUGCACAGCUGCAUAAUAGAGAAGCCGGCACUCAGAUUGACAGGCAAAUAAGCCAGCUUGUGGAAGGGGCCUCUGGGUGGCAGCUCUGGGCUUUUGGGUGUUGGACAACCAUAGGCAAAACUGAAAUGGAACAGGGGCAGAAAAUAGCACACUUUUACUCUACGCAACUGUUGCUUUUUCAUGAUCUUCAGGAAUUUUACUGGGAUAAUUAUCCAAAUAAAUUGCAAGCAUUCUAUCCAAAUGGAGCUCUUUCUGAGAUGAAGAGAAUUCUCAAUGUCAAGAUUUGAACAAGAAGAGAAUGGAAUACACAAUAUGGACAUCCAUAAAAAUUCAUCAGAGAGCAUUUUACUACUGAGCUGCAAAGGCUGGAGUGCAGUGGCACCGUCUCAGGUCACUUCAACCUCCGCCUCCUGGGCUCAAGCGAUUCUCCCGCCUCAGCCUCCUGAGUAC
rnacentral:lncRNA from 1 species